CUUUUGCAAGUCUGUUGACAAUUAUGUCAUUAGGAUAGGAAAGUAUAAAACCACUCUGUGGAUAGUGCUGAAAACAAUUACUUCAUAUCUGAAUUCCUCCAUCUUUAUGCGACUUUACUGGUUGACUUUCCAUAAUGUCUAUUUGCAUGUCUCUUGCUGCUAGAAUUGCAAUUCAUAUUCCAAGAUCUGCAGCUUCAUUAAAAAUGUCAGCUGGAUUUCACAGAGUUUCCUUACUAGAUGCAUUGUUUGACGUUGUGCCUCCAUUGGGGUUUUGUUUCAAGACAUUGGAAGUGUAAACCUUUGAAAAUCAGACUUGACCAUACGCAUUGGAACGUAACAUGCACAAUGAGUUCGCGGUUCAAUCUCUAAUAUGAACCCUUAUGGACAAUGGCGGUGUAGAAACCAGACUCCCCUUUCACAGGUCCAUGGCCACGCACAGUCUGUGCCAACAACUCUUCACCACUAACCCCUUCAAAAGCAUCUGUACAGAGGGCAUCAGCUUCCAGCGGGGAUCCAACCGUUCAACUACAUGUGGGAGGUUGGCGUCGGCCCUGACCUGGCUAUGCAUCGUAGGUACGUUAUGCUCUAUGAAGACCAGUGACCAUGGACGUUUCUCUCCUCCACCGGAUACAUCUGAGUUUAGCUUUGCCAGUGGCUAGACUCCUGUUGGGAUUCCUCUGACGAUGACACUGACUACAAAGUAUCCUGUUACAAUCUGCUAAAUUAAUUUGGGUCCCCUGGCCACACCCAGCAAUUUAAACUAGCAUUGAAUCAAUACUUUUUUUUCUUCUAUUUAAAAUGAAUAAAUUGUUGGCUCUUGAAGACUUCAUCCAGUACCUUUGUUUUUAAAAGCAAUAUACCAAGCUUAACUGCAGACUUCAAGGAGUUGGUCUGAUAGACUUAGUGAUGUCAUUGGAGUCAAUUUUUCAUGCAAGUUUCGUGCAGCUGUAUAAAGAUACUAUAUUAAGUUGUGCUGCCUGUGUAAACACAGCCCAAUUAUUUUCCAGUGACUGUGUCCAAUAAUAGGGUAAAAGAUGACUGCCUGUGUAAAUGCAGCCUUUGCACAGGGAUAUUCAACUCAUACCCUACGAGGUCCAAUGCCUGCUGGUUUUGUUCUGCUAAUGAAUUGCACCCACCUUGUGUCCCAGGUCGGGGGCGCAGUGGAACUGCCUUCAAGGUCCAGUUUUGAAUUUGAGGGACUUACAGCAUCCAAGAAUGUGUUUACUUGUUUUGAGCCCUUUUCUCUAGGCUUAAAAUUAGCUGUCAAAUGGUGCAGCGAUUACAUGACUGCUACUUGGACAAUUCAAAUAGUGUUACCCAACAUUAUAGCAAAACCCUUAGCAUGCUCAUUGUGAAGACAUGGAAAUAAAAUAGUAAUUGGAUUAUAAAAAAACCUGUCAUUCUUCUCUAAAGCAAACAUGUUUGGUUAUGCAGUCGACUCCAUGUGCCAUUUGAAGUAAAAUCUUGUCAGAUCAGCAAAAAUACAUUAACUCAUGCUUGUAAUUUAAAGCCUGUGUAAAAGGGGCAAUCUGCAGUUAGUACACUUUUGGGGACUUUGAUAUGCCCACUGAUAUAUAUAUAAGUGGAUUUGGAAGUAUUCAUACCCCUUCACCACAUUUACGUUACAUCCUUUUUCAAAAGUGGAUGAAAUAAAUCUAUUACCCAGACAGGGUUUUAAGAAAUGUUUCAAAAUUUAAGGUAUCUGUACUCCCAGUCAUGUGAAGUCAAUGAGGGCC
rnacentral:lncRNA from 1 species